rnacentral:rRNA from 1 species
UGGGGAAUAUUGGACAAUGGGGGAAACUCUGAUCCAGCAAUGCCGCGUGAGUGAAGAAGGCCUUAGGGUUGUAAAGCUCUUUCGGCGGGGACGAUGGUGACGGUACCCGCAGAAGAAGCCCCGGCUAACUUCGUGCCAGCAGCCGCGGUAAUACGAAGGGGGCUAGCGUUGUUCGGAAUCACUGGGCGUAAAGGGCGCGUAGGCGGCUUGACAAGUCAGGUGUGAAAGCCCCGGGCUCAACCCGGGAAUUGCACUUGAUACUGUUUCGCUAGAGUCCGGGAGAGGAUGGCGGAAUUCCCAGUGUAGAGGUGAAGUUCGUAGAUAUUGGGAAGAACACCGGUGGCGAAGGCGGCCAUCUGGACCGGUACUGACGCUGAGGCGCGAAAGCGUGGGGAGCAAA